CAGUAGCCACGGGAAUACGUAGGGUGCAAGCGUUAAUCGGAAUUACUGGGAGUAAAGCGUGCGCAGGCGGUUUUGUAAGACAGAGGUGAAAUCCCCGGGCUCAACCUGGGAACUGCCUUUGUGACUGCAAGGCUAGAGUACGGCAGAGGGGGAUGGAAUUCCGCGUGUAGCAGUGAAAUGCGUAGAUAUGCGGAGGAACACCGAUGGCGAAGGCAAUCCCCUGGGCCUGUACUGACGAUCAUGCACGAAAGCGUGGGGAGCAAACAGGAUUAGAUACCCCCGUAGUCCCUGUCUCUUAUAC
rnacentral:rRNA from 1 species